rnacentral:rRNA from 1 species
GACGAACGCUGGCGGCGUGCCUAAUACAUGCAAGUCGAGCGGACGAAUCGAAAGCUUGCUUUUGAUUCGUUAGCGGCGGACGGGUGAGUAACACGUGGGCAACCUGCCCUGUAGACGGGGAUAACACCGAGAAAUCGGUGCUAAUACCGGAUAACACGAAAUGUCGCAUGACGUUUCGUUGAAAGACGGCGCAAGCUGUCGCUACAGGAUGGGCCCGCGGCGCAUUAGCUAGUUGGUGAGGUAACGGCUCACCAAGGCGACGAUGCGUAGCCGACCUGAGGGGGUGAUCGGCCACACUGGGACUGAGACACGGCCCAGACUCCUACGGGAGGCGGCAGUAGGGAAUCUUCCGCAAUGGACGAAAGUCUGACGGAGCAACGCCGCGUGAGCGAAGAAGGCCUUCGGGUCGUAAAGCUCUGUUGUUAGGGAAGAACAAGUAACGCAGUAACUGGCGUUACCGUGACGGUACCUAGCGAGAAAGCCACGGCUAACUACGUG